ACUCCUACGGGAGGCAGCAGUAAGGAAUAUUGACCUAUGGAGGGAACUCUGAACCAGCCAUGCCGCGUGCAGGAUGACUGCCCUAUGGGUUGUAUACUGCUUUUCUCCGGUAAUAAACCUUUCCACGUGUGGGAAGCUUAAUGUACCUGAAGGAUAAGGAUCGGCUAACUCCGUGCCAGCAGCCGCGGUAAU
rnacentral:rRNA from 1 species